rnacentral:lncRNA from 1 species
CCCACCUGGAACGCGGCGUGCUGCUGUGGGUGGCGCCCGAGGGCGUCUUCGCCAAGCGCCUCUGCCAGGGCCGCGUGUACUGGCGCGGCCCGCUUGCCCCGCACCGCGCGCAGCCCAACAAACUGGAGCGCGAGCGCACCUGCCAGCUGCUCGACACGCGCCGCUUCCUCGCGGGUAAGAGCGCGACAGCCGGGCCAUGGGUUUGAGAAUUCUGGGCCUGGGAUGGGCCUGGAAACAAAGGACAUGACACAGAAACACCGGGAGUGGGAACGAAUACGGACGUGAGCCUGUAGGAGGUGGAGGUGUAGGCUUGUGGCGGGCUUGGGACGCUGGGUGUGGGACAGAAACCUAGGACUUGGGCACGUGUUGUCUUAGGGCAUUAAGCAUAAGGUGGGCAUUGGGGCACUGGGCACAAGAUAGGCAUAGGUGAGUGGCAGUGGGCAUGAUAGUGAGCCUAGGGCACAAGGCACAGGGCCUGAGAAUUAGAAGUGAGACAUGAGACAGGCAUAGGGAUGUGGAAGUGGGCCUGGGCACGUGGGGGAUGUGGAUUUACAGGACAUGGUCAGGGGAUAUGAGCACAAAGUGGGCACCAGAUGGGAUCCCCCGACCCCAGACCCCACCAUCUUGGUGCCCAUAGAACUGCGAGCCCACCUACAAGAUGGUUGCCCGGAGCCCGAAUACCAGAUCCGGCUGUGCUUUGGUGAGGAGUACCCGGGGCCCCCGGACCAGCCCGAGGAGCGGCUCAUUAUGGCCCAUGUGGAGCCAGUCUUCGCCAGGGAGCUCCUCCUGCACUCGAAGAUCCACGGCCAGGUGCCCGGGUGGCAGGUUCCCAGCCUAGCAUCCCUGACAGCAUCAAUCACCUGCUGACACAGCUGAGUCAGCCCUAAGCGGCUUCUUCCUCCUACCAUACCCGCUAAAGCAACUCCCCACAGGGUAUAGAUCCCACCCUAGUCCUGCACCAACUGAGCCAGGGGAUUUAAGAUAGGUUGGGACAGUGGAAGCCAGUCACGGCCUUCAACCACUCAGCCACCAAGCUGGAGCCUGGGAACCAGGCGCAGAGAUAGACAGCUAGACCUGAGGCAUCAGGCUUGGAAAUCAAACUCAAUCUUGAGGCUCCAGAAAUAACAAUUAGGACAGAAACAAGGCUUGAUCUUUUUGUUAAGAGUCGGACAUGCCUACACUGGUUUACCUAAAAGUGAAAAGUGAAAGUGAAGUCGCUCAGUCGUGUCCAACUCUUUGCGACCCCAUGGACUGUUGCCUACCAGGCUCCUCUGUCCAGGGGAUUUUCCAGGCAAGAAUACUGGAGUGGGUUGCCAUUUCCUUCUCCAGGAGAUCUUCCCAACCCAGGGAUUGAACCCGGGUCUCCCGCAUUGUAAGCAGACGCUUUACCAUCUGAGCCACCAGGGAAGUACCUAAAGUGGACUCUAACCGCACUUGAUCCAUUAUAAAGUUUGCUUAAAGCUGAGUUUACUGGGAGUUCCCUGGUGCUCCAGGGGUUAGGACUCUGCACUUCCACUACUAGGGGCCCAGGUUGGAGGGAUCCCUUGUGGGGGAACUAAGAUCUUGCAAGCCCCACAGCCUGGCCAAAAAAAAGGAGCGAGGGCUGAGUUUACUAAUAAUUAGACCCUCGGUAUGGUUUAGACUGAAGCCCAACCAGUAACAGAACUGUCCCACUUCUGAGGGGUUCUGAGUUUCCAGACCCUCCUUCCACCUGCCACAAGUCUCUCUUCUUUGGAGGGGGUAAGAAGUAGUGGGGGUCGGGGCUCCCAAAACAGAGGACUUGACCUGAACCUGGGGCUUUGAAUGCUAACCACUAGACCGCCACCUGUAGAUACUGACUUUGGGGAAACCGAGGCAGGCCUAGGAUAGGAACCUAAGUGGGAGCCAGGAGUCCAUCCCAUCCCCAAGCCCCACCAAUUUUUGCAAAAUGUGAGUUGUAGGGAGUCCGUGAGAAUGGUGGAGGGAGGGAACCCCCUCCACCAUGAAGGCAGUGACCCUGCCUUGUCAGUUAAGUCACUGUUUUCUACCCCAGAUAUCAGACCUUUUACCUUUUCUGAUUUCUGACUUUAUUUAUUGGAGUUCUCCUACAGAUGGCAAUGUAAUAAAUUUUUCAGUGAUAUAUAAAUAAGCCA